GGGUGUGUAGCUCAAUGGUAGAGCAUUAGGCUUUUAACCUACUGGUUGCAGGUUCAAAUCCUGCCAUACCUA
rfam:Micromonas sp. RCC299 mitochondrion, complete genome.